AUGCAGAGCCAGCCCCGUGCUGGGGGCUCCGGAGCCGGGGGCGGCCGCCUGCAUGGAACAAAUCAGGUGACAGCUGCUCAGAACCAGGACCCUCAGCUGCCCCGGGGGUGCGAGUCUCGGGCGGUCCCUCACCUCUCUGUGCCCGUUGCCUUACCUGCAAGACAGGGCAAGGGCACACACAGAGGGCAGCUGAGGGGGCAGGUGAUGACCGCAGGGCCCCACUGUGCCCACAGACCCUGGCCACACACCCCAUGCUGUGUGGUCCUUCUCAGAGCUCUGGUCAGGAGGCCAGUGUGGGUGAGUGAGAAGGGUGGGCGGCCUCCCCUGCCCCCUCCUCCCCAAGAGCAGGGCUGGCCGGAUGCCUCCCUGCUGCCUUCGGGGUGGGGGUGGGGCUGCCCUGCCACACCUUAUUGUCCUCCGGACCACCCUUGCCCAGAGACCCGGGCAGCUCUGCCCACCACGGCUCCUCUCCUGACCUACAGUGGUUGCCCCAGCCAGACUCUGUGCCUGGGCGGUUGGCCGCUGCACUGUGGCUCCUGCCUGGUCCCGUGGCCAAAGCCACGGGGAUGUGACAGCCGGAGCAGCCUGGCUGCUGGGCGCAGUGGCCUCCUGUCGCUUGGGGUGGAGAAGGCCUGUGGUGCACACAGCCUCACGGGGUCAGGCAGCCUGGCCAGAGUUCCCCCAGGGCCAGGCCUCUCCCCCUGGGGUGGGCCGUGGGGCGAGGUGGCUCUGCCAGCUGCUGGAGGAAGCAGCGCAGGACGGGACCCAAGUGAAGCCCCCCGGGCAUCUAGCCCCAAUGGGUGGGCACAGGGACGCGGUCUCCUGGAACCGGGGUCCACUCAGAGCGUUGCCCAGCAGUGCCCAAGAAGCCAGGCACAUCCUUUCCCAGAGGCUGUGAGAGGGACCAGAGGCGUCUGGUGUUGGCCACAUGGUAGGCGGGGCUUCCUCACAGGCACCGUCUCCUCCCGAGUUCGUUCAGGGCCACUGGGCGGAGGUCGCCUGGCUCCCCAAAUGGACAGUGGGGCACAGGAGGCAGUGCCUGCAGAGGGGACUGUGCACCCGUGUGGCCUCUGGGGGGCGAGGCUGCCUGUCUCAAUUCCCUUGCCUGGCAGAGUUUGA
rnacentral:lncRNA from 1 species